rnacentral:rRNA from 1 species
UGGGGAAUCUUAGACAAUGGGGGAAACCCUGAUCUAGCCAUGCCGCGUGAGCGAUGAAGGCCUUAGGGUUGUAAAGCUCUUUCAGCUGGGAAGAUAAUGACGGUACCAGCAGAAGAAGCCCCGGCUAACUCCGUGCCAGCAGCCGCGGUAAUACGGAGGGGGCUAGCGUUGUUCGGAAUUACUGGGCGUAAAGCGCACGUAGGCGGAUUAGUCAGUCAGAGGUGAAAUCCCAGGGCUCAACCCUGGAACUGCCUUUGAUACUGCUAGUCUUGAGGUCGAGAGAGGUGAGUGGAAUUCCGAGUGUAGAGGUGAAAUUCGUAGAUAUUCGGAGGAACACCAGUGGCGAAGGCGGCUCACUGGCUCGAUACUGACGCUGAGGUGCGAAAGCGUGGGGAGCAAAACAGGAUUAGAUACCCUGGUAGUCCACGCCGUAAACGAUGAAUGCCAGUCGUCGGGUUGCAUGCAAUUCGGUGACACACCUAACGGAUUAAAGCAUUCCGCCUGGGGAGUACGGUCGCAAGAUUAAAACUCAAAUGAAUUGACGGGGUCAUAGCUGUUUCCUG